ensembl:lncRNA
CGAGAUUCUACCCCAGCCCACCACUCAUGGUCGCAGUGCCCUUGGGCGAGUCUCUGGAUGAGUCGGAGCCUUGGUUCCGUCCGCUGAGCCGAGACGGUGGCACCAGGCCUUCCUGCUGAUCUGCCAAAAUGGUAAGGUGAGGGAGCCCUAGUCAGGGAGCGAUCCCCUGGAAUGGCUUACUUGGCUCCUCUUCUCUAGGUGACAAACUUUGGCUCCACUCAAGCUGUUCCCGUCCCCACACAUGCUUUUACGUGGCUGCCUCCAAACCUUGGCUCACAGAACCUGCACCCUGCACGCCACCCCUCCCCUUCAUGUGUUCUGCUUGUUCUGAGAUCUGGCUCAGGCCCAGCCACCCUGACCAUCUGCAGCCCCUCCCCUUGCAGGCAGGCAGGCAGCAGCUCUUGCUGAGAACGUGCUUUGGGCUUGGCAGGCCUCCCCCGCCCCACCACCCCACCUCGUGGCUAAACCCGCACCCAGCCUGGGCGAUUCCCUGCCCAGCAGCUCUGAGCUCCAUCCUUGCCCUCCCCAGGCCGUGCAAUACCCCUGCAUACCCAGGUAUGACUGGGUUCUCUCCUGCUUAAAACCCUUUGUGGUCAUCCCCUUGAUUUUGGCUAAAGUCGCAUCUCUGAGCCUGGGCCUGCUGGCCUCCCCAAUUGGCCUGCGUGUCCCAUGUGCCCACAUCCCCACUGACUCUCUUGAUUCUGGCCUCAUGAGCUCUCUGGUUACUUAACUGCCUUCCCCAUCCUUUGCACCCUGCACCUCUCCAGCCCUUACUGCUAACUGUAAUUAAGUAACUAGGUUACCGUGGAGUUCGUGGCUUAGCGUCUCCACUGCUGAGAUGUGCUCUCUACAAGGGUGGGGUGUGUGUCUUGUUUAUAGCUCUGGACUAAGGCUCUCCAUGAUGUAAUAAAUGAACAGGGUUGUUAGCUGUGACAGACAGUAUCAGUUCCCUAGAGUCUCUGAGCAAUGACAGUAAGGCUGGCUGGCUGCCCUGGGCGAGGCCAGUAUAAAUCAGAUGUGACCUUGUCCUGUCCUCCCAGCUUGGGGCUUUCUAAGGGCAGGGCCUGGCCCCAAUCUUCCAUGAUUGCUGACUUCCAUGGGGCAACCAGGACACUUCUGGUCCCUUCCUACAGGGCACAGAUUACUACUCAGGGUGCCGGGGACCCCAAGAGCUUUAAGAGGAAGGCGACCCUCAAAAUUUUGUCAUGUAUUGUGCCCCUGCACACAGAUUCAGGGGUUGAUUCCAGAAAGAUUAAGAAACAUGUUCGCAGAUGGGCCAGGUGACAGAAAGUGACCCUGUAAAUGUUGCCCUUCCCUUCUAGGUGCCUGGUGCACACCUCAGUCUUUGGCACUCGGCCCUGGAUCCCUAGAGAACAUUGUUCUACUGAGUCGUAGCCCCCGCUUGUUCAUGGUUCUCUGGGUGUGAAUGUGGUGCCCGACAGCCAGAACAAUCAUGACAGACCCAGAACUAGGCUGACUUACAGGGGGCUGCGUCAGCCUCCCAACACCACACACACACUCACACACAGCCAGAAUGUGAGGAGGGGAGUCCCUGAGUCACGUGCUGCCAUUGGCUCUGCCCAUCCUUGACUUGAGGCAGGCCCCACUGCCUCCACCCCCACCCAGCCAGUGUCCACAGUGCAAGACGCCGUGCAGCCAUGCCUGGAGCUGGGCACACAUGUGGACCCCGAUACCCUGUGUGCAUGUGUCACAGGCUGGUCUCAGAUCGAUGCACGGCUCCUCCCCCGGUGCGGCCUCGGGCUCCCUCCUACCCCCACGUCCCUCCAGUAAUGUGUGUGGGGCCUUGAUUGUGCACCAGACACUGUGCUGUCCUCUUAGAGGCAGUUUUUCAUUUAUCUCCAAAUUGGAACAUAUAGUUUGUAAUAUUAUUUCAAUUUUACAGCAAGGAAAUAGCACAAAAAGGUGAAGAAAUUUGCCCCAAAUCAGAAAGCUUUGUAAGUAGCAGAACCUGAAUUUGUCGCUGGCAGUCUGGUUCCAGAUCCCAUUUGUAAACCCUACAUUUAUCCUGUCCUGUUUAUGCUGAGGGUUUCAUGGUGCAAACCUGUACUGUGGCCUCCACAGCCUUUCUCCCCAUGCAGGUUAGAGGUGAAUGUCCAGGCUCACCUCUUGUAUCAGGAAAAAAUGGUCACUGAGCAGAGCCUUCUGGAACUGCCAGGAGAGACCCCUUUCAGCUAAGUGAAGAGGAAGGGGCACCCCCUCGAUCAGUGUUAGUGCUAAGGUGGGAAUGGCACAGAAGGGCGUAGUGUUACGGAGCCCUGGGAGGCCCACUGAGAACACGGGCACCGUAGGAGGCAGAGAGAGCACAGAUUGGGCAGCCAGCUAUGGGUUCAAAUCCGCGUCCUGUCACUGGAGCAGAGUGACUUUGAACAAGUGAUGUCACAUCUCUGACCCCGCGUUUCCUAUCUGUAAAAUGGGGAUAUUGAUAGGUAUGUUGCAGCCUUGUUUUGACAAUGAAAGUGAAAUAAAGUUUGCAAAAUGUGAAGCCCAGUACAGGUGUGUAGUGAGCUGUGCAAGAGGUUGGGUUCCUAAAUUUAGUGCUUUUAAGUGGUCCAGGUGCCCGGGUACUCAGGCCUUGGAGCUGCUGCCCAAAUACCAGCAAUUCCUUGAGGCGGGAGCCCUGCGGGGAGCUCACUCCUGCUGAACACGGGUCUACGCGCACAGCUUUUCAAAGGCCCGGGUAGGCCACUGCUUUAGGUUGCUAUCCGUUGACGCCUUUUGGGAAAUUUCUUGGCAGCAACUGAGAGCAAAGGACCCAAGUGACCCCAGGGGGAGAUCCCAGGCUGGAGAAGAGGGCAUUAAAAUGGGAGAUAGUGAUUUACACCUACUCUGCUGGUAGUUUUUAAAUACUGGAACAUUCAGUGUAAGUGAGGUUGUGGUAAGAUUGGGCCAAGCGUAUAGUCUUGGUGACAGUUGUAGUAGGCAACCUCCAAGAUGGCCCCAAUGAUCCCUGCUCCUGGUAUUCUUGGCCUUGUCAUCCUCUCCCCUUGUUCCCUUGAUUCAAAACAGUAGAGCAUGGCAACGUAAAGGGGAUGUCAUUUCUGUGAUGAAGUUACAAAAGAUUGUGACUUCUGUCUUGCUAACAG